AUAGCAGGUUUAUAAUACUGAAAACCCAUGGCAACUCCAGACUGGUAACUCAACAUCUCCUGAUGGCUGCAAAAAUCAAAUCUUUUAGAGCAAAACCUUUCCAAAUCUUUUCCUCUUCCUCGAAGCUCUUAAAGUUUCAAUCUUCUUCAUCAUCUCCAACAGUCGCACAACCUUCAUUGAACCCAGAACCCAAAACUGCAACUUUAACAACACCAUUAACCCAACAAGAGCUGGCCAAAAUCCACCUCUUAAUACCACGCUUAUGCCUCAAAAGUAACAUAAACACCUCCAUUAAUCUUACUCUCACAGCAUUACUAACAAACCCACCUCCCAAGUCUUUCUCUUUCUCCGUUUUACUUAACAGCCUAACUUGGUCCUCCGCAUGGCUCUUUUAACCAAACUCAAACACACCUCGCAAGCACAUUCACGUCUCACAUUAAUCACCACACUUCUUGUGUCUUCAUAUCUCAAAAAGAGCAGGCAAAAAGAGGCAUUAAAAGUGCACAACUAAAUGCUGAGGACUGGCUCUCCAUGUAAAGUGGAGACGGUGGUGUGUGAGGUUUUCGUUGAUGGGUUGUGUAGAAGUCGUGGGUUGCGGAGGCUUUGAGGGUUUUGAGAGAAAUUUUGUGGAUGAAUUUGGCGGUGAAAGGUGGUUCGAGGAGAAGGGCUUUUAGGAGUUAGUUGAAAGAAGCUAGAAUUAAGGAGGCUAAGGAAUUGAAUGAAGCUUUGAGGAGAGCUCACAAGGGUGAAGGGGAGGGCUUGAAGGAAUUCUUGGCCUUGUUGGAUCAGAUUCUUUCUAAUUGGACGGACUAGUGCAGUGCAGGAAUAUGGUGCAGCUUGUGAAGGACUACUAGGAUCCAAUGCAUCAACUUUUCACAGCCUCCAUUUCUGAUAUGAGCAAGCAAGUAUUGGACCAGCAAAAGCAUAGUAACCGAUGUACGUCUGGACUAUCGGAACUCAAGUGAGUGACACUAUUCAAUCACCGUCUGCUUCACACAUACACGAAGAAAGAGCUUUACCGAGCGGCUUCUGAUGCUGUUAUUGCAUGUUUAAAGAUUGUUGAAGAAAUCUGCUGGCAAAGUUUCUAUGAGCUGCAGAGUGUUGUCACUCUAAAUUCGUUAUGGGAUGCUUAAAGACUGGAGAAAGGCAUUGAUGGAACAUGUUUUGACUGGCAGAAAGUAUGAAUCGAAUUCAUAAUGAGGAUCAUUACGAAAAACAUCUUGGUUAACUUCGCAAUGUUGAGAAUAUUGAUAUCGGCCUUUUGUUACUGAAAUCAUGUUGAUUAUAAUUUUUAUUUGUUAUUGUUUUGAUACUAUCUGCC